rnacentral:tRNA from 1 species
GCUUCUCUGGUGAAAGCGGAAUCACUCGGGCGUGCGGAGCCCGCGUUCCAGGUUCGAGCCCUGGGGGGAGCGCCA